AUUGAACGCUGGCGGCAGGCCUAACACAUGCAAGUCGAGCGGCAGCACGGGUACUUGUACCUGGUGGCGAGCGGCGGACGGGUGAGUAAUGCCUAGGAAUCUGCCUGGUAGUGGGGGAUAACGCUCGGAAACGGACGCUAAUACCGCAUNCGUCCUACGGGAGAAAGCAGGGGACCUUCGGGCCUUGCGCUAUCAGAUGAGCCUAGGUCGGAUUAGCUAGUUGGUGAGGUAAUGGCUCACCAAGGCGACGAUCCGUAACUGGUCUGAGAGGAUGAUCAGUCACACUGGAANUGAGACACGGUCCAGACUCCUACGGGAGGCAGCAGUGGGGAAUAUUGGACAAUGGGCGAAAGCCUGAUCCANCCAUGCCGCGUGUGUGAAGAAGGUCUUCGGAUUGUAAAGCACUUUAAGUUGGGAGGAAGGGCAUUUACCUAAUACGUAAGUGUUUUGACGUUACCGACAGAAUAAGCACCGGC
rnacentral:rRNA from 1 species